rnacentral:rRNA from 1 species
CUUGAUGCGAAGCGACGCAAGUCGCAAAAAAAGCAUUAAGGCAAAUACACCGAGUAAUAGGUAGAGAAAUCUACCGUCAGUGAAUUUGCGAGUUUGUUGGAUUGAACUGAAGAGUUUGAUCCUGGCUCAGAUUGAACGCUGGCGGCAUGCCUUACACAUGCAAGUCGAACGGCAGCACGGACUUCGGUCUGGUGGCGAGUGGCGAACGGGUGAGUAAUGUAUCGGAACGUACCUUUCAGUGGGGGAUAACGUAGCGAAAGUUACGCUAAUACCGCAUAUUCUGUGAGCAGGAAAGCAGGGGAUCGCAAGACCUUGCGCUGAUUGAGCGGCCGAUAUCAGAUUAGCUAGUUGGUGGGGUAACGGCCUACCAAGGCAACGAUCUGUAGCGGGUCUGAGAGGAUGAUCCGCCACACUGGAACUGAGACACGGUCCAGACUCCUAC